AGAUAAUUGAAUCAUGGGGGCGGGUCUUUCCCAUGUUGUUCUCGUGAUAGUGAAUAAGUCUCAUGAGAUCUGAUGGUUUUAAAAAUGGUAAUUUCCCUGCACAAGCUGUCUCUCUUUUGGCCUGCUGCCAUCCGCGUAAGACAUGACUUACUCCUCCGUGCCUUCCACCAUGAUUGUGAGGCUUCCCCAGCCAUGAGGAACUGUGAGUUGAAUAAACACUUUUUCCUGUAUAAAUUACCCCGUCUCGGGUAUGUCUUUAUCAGCAGCGUGAAAAUGGACUAAUACAAUAACUUCACCACAUACCUUUCAUAGUAUAAUGCAUUUAUAUGUAGCUAUCACCCUCUACCCUCACUCCUCCAACCACUACUAAAAACUCUUCAAGGUCAAGGGCUUUACCUUAUAUAUCUUUGUGUCCCCUGUAUUGCAGAAUACCCAUCCCAUAGAUGUACUUGGGAUAGACAGCUUCUGGCACUCCUCCCAAGAUCUCUCCCUCCUGGUUACAAAAACCUGAGACUUCCAUUUUGCUGGAAACUUCUUUUCCUCUUGCACACUCACUCUGCGACUCUGUGUGGAGAGCUCCAUGUGACAAGGGAGGUCUGCAGCCUAAGCAACUGAGACCUCAGCCCAACAGCCCUCAAAGAACUGGAUCUUCAAACAACCACAUGAGUGACCUAGAAGCAAAUCUGUCACCAGUGCUCUUGAGACGGGCUGAAGUAUUUAAUCACCGGCACAAAAUGUCCCAGUGUUCUGUUCUCCUGCUGUGGAAAUUUUAGAGAAAAGAUCAUGAUCUAAGAGUCUACAAGACCAGAGCAGCCUGAAUUGCUGAGCUGCCUGGUGGAGAAUAGCAGCAUUGGGUGGUUCCCAGGAUUCUUAAAAGGACUUUACAAAGGUAAGAAAUACGUUUUCACUAUGAGAGAUUAUUCAGGUUAACUAUUUCUGCCUAAUCAACCAUCCCAAAACUCACCUCUCAUGGUUUUGGGGGUUCAAGAGCUCAGCUGGGCUAUAUUUGCUUGUACUCUUUUAUAUGGUGGCAGACCCCUGGAGGCCGAGGCCAGAAUUAGUUGAAGUCCC
rnacentral:lncRNA from 10 species